rnacentral:misc_RNA from 1 species
GUACCCCAUGUGCCAAUUCGCCUCACCACCUCGAGCGGGAGGCACAACCACAAUGUGGUCGUCGCGUGCACCUUAACGACACAACCCUUGGGCCCCGUGCUAGCUGGGCUCCAGAAGUAUCACAAGCUCUCACGAAUGCAGCAGGCUUCGGGGACUUCGGCCCUCGGCCUAUACCCUCGUUGAGACAACGGUCGAUCCACCGAUGGGCCCCCUCCACUCCCUGCGGGCAGUCGGGCGCCUUGACAGCAUCGACAUCGCAGAGGACAUGCUACCUGGUUG